GCUUAGACCCUUAAUUUAAGACUAGUGCCUAACAUCAUAGUAGCUUAUUGCCUAAGAUUUAAGCUUAAUGCCUAAUUUCACUUAUUGCCGCUAACAUAUAUAUGAGGGUGUGGACAUGGGUUUACAGAAUAGGGAAUAAUAGGAAACGUGUAGAAUAAAGGGCUUUAAAAAUAAAGAAUAUAAAAAAAGGGAAAAAAAUAAAGAAUAGAAAAUAAGGGACA
rnacentral:lncRNA from 1 species